GUUGUUUUUUUUUUCCCCCAGGAGUAAGACAUCUCACUUUUUAAAUGAAAGUGCUGCCUUGGUGUGUGUCUCCUUGGUAGGACUCAAAACAGCAAUAGUGAAACCUGCAAGACAGUACUUCAUUAGAUAGGGAAGAAAUCUGUUGUUGUUGAGAUAAUGAAAAUAUGGGCUAAACAUCUCUUGAGCUGUGUCUUGCCAUGGAUGCCUAGGAUGAUUCUCAGAUUUUCUCUUCAGAUGGAGAAAUUCAUCUAUCCCAUUUAGAAAUUCACCAUACUAAUGCAGAGAUGAUGAAGACUUAGAACAUCCGUGUUUUCCCAGUUACAGGUAAGCUUG